GGACGUGAGGAUGAUCCGGCUGUGACAUGUCAUCCCAUUGAUCACCAGGGUUGAUCUGGUUGAUCUGACUGACUAGGUAGGUGUUCCCCUUCCUCCCUCACUGCUCCGUGUCCAUCGCUCCCUGAAGCUGAGCACUGGUCGAAGUGGACGACCGCCCCCGAUAGAGGAGGACUGUUUCCUUGGUCCAAAUUAUAUGUAUAGCUGCGUUCCCCUGCUAGAAUCUCCAAACAAGCUCUUAAAAAGUUAUCAAACCUAAAACAAUAAAGAAAAUUAUUUAGAUAGAUGCAGAAGCAGAAGGAUCUUCUGUAAGAUGUUUCUCU
rfam:Fukomys damarensis contig91441, whole genome shotgun sequence.